UGGGGAAAAUUGCACAAUGGGCGCAAGACUGAUGCAGCCAUGACGCGUGUAUGAAGAAGGCCUUCGGGUUGUAAAGUACUUUCAGCGGGGAGGAAGGGAGUAAAGUUAAUACCUUUGCUCAUUGACGUUACCCGCAGAAGAAGCACCGGCUAACUCCGUGCAAGCAGCCGCGGGAAUACGGAGGGUGCAAGCGUUAAUCGGAAUUACUGGGCGUAAAGCGCACGCAGGCGGUUUGUUAAGUCAGAUGUGAAAUCCUCGGGCUCAACCUGGGAACUGCAUCUGAUACUGGCAAGCUUGAGUCUCGUAGAGUGGGCUAGAAUUCCAGGUGUGGCGGUGACAUGCGUAGAGAUCUGGAGGAAUACCGGUGGCGACGGCGGCCCCCUGGACUAAGACUGCCGCUCAGGUGCGAAAGCGUGGGGAGCAAACAGG
rnacentral:rRNA from 1 species